CAGUCGCCGCGGGAAUACAGAGGGUGCGAGCGUUAAUCGGAUUUACUGGGCGUAAAGCGUGCGUAGGCGGCUUUUUAAGUCGGAUGUGAAAUCCCCGGGCUCAACCUGGGAACUGCAUUUGUGACUGGCAAGCUAGAGUCUGGCAGAGGGGGGUGGAAUUCCGCGUGUAGCAGUGAAAUGCGUAGAUAUGCGGAGGAACACCGAUGGCGAAGGCAGCCCCCUGGGCCAACACUGACGCUCAUGCACGAAAGCGUGGGGAGCAAACAGGAUUAGAUACCCGAGUAGUCCCUGUCUCUUAUAC
rnacentral:rRNA from 1 species